rnacentral:rRNA from 1 species
GACUGAGACACGGCCCAGACUCCUACGAGGAAGCAGUAGGGAAUCUUCCGCAAUGGACGAAAGUCUGACGGAGCAACGCCGCGUGAGUGAUGAAGGCUUUCGGGUCGUAAGGCUCUGUUGUUAGGGAAGAACAAGUGCUAGUUGAAUAACAGGCUGGCACCUUGACGGUACCCAUUAUUGGGCGUAAAGCGCGCGCAGGUGGUUUCUUAAGU